rnacentral:rRNA from 1 species
GACGAACGCUGGCGGCGUGCUUAACACAUGCAAGUCGAACGGAAAGGCCCUGCUUUUGUGGGGUGCUCGAGUGGCGAACGGGUGAGUAACACGUGAGUAACCUGCCCUUGACUUUGGGAUAACUUCAGGAAACUGGGGCUAAUACCGGAUAGGAGCUCCUGCUGCAUGGUGGGGGUUGGAAAGUUUCGGCGGUUGGGGAUGGACUCGCGGCUUAUCAGCUUGUUGGUGGGGUAGUGGCUUACCAAGGCUUUGACGGGUAGCCGGCCUGAGAGGGUGACCGGGCACAAUGGGACUGAGGAUCGGCCCAAGAUCCUACGGGAGGCAGCAGUGGGGAAUAUUGCACAAUGGGCGGAAGCCUGAUGCAGCAACGCCGCGUGCGGGAUGACGGCCUUCGGGUUGUAAACCGCUUUCGCCUGUGACGAAGCGUGAGUGACGGUAAUGGGUAAAGAAGCACCGGCUAACUACGUG